GGGGACACAUGGUCAGACCUCUCCAGAGAAGGUGGUGUGAGGCCAAUGCUGAAGAUGCUGCUGCUUCUGCUGCUUCUGGGGCCCACAGGCUCUGGGCUUGGUGCUCAUGUCUCUCAACAUCCAAGCAGGGCCAUCUGCAAGAGUGGGACCUCUGUGAAGAUCGAGUGUCACUCUGUGGGCAUCCAGUUCCAAAUUGUGUUUUGGUACCGCCAGUUCCCCAAAAAGAGCUUCGUGCUGAUGGCAACUUCUAAUCCAGGCUCUGAUGUCACCUGGGAACAAGAUAUUGCCCAGGACAAGUUUUCUGUCAGUCACCCAAACCUCACCUUUGCAUCUCUGAUGGUGACCAGUGCACAUUCUGAAGACAGCAGCUUCUACUUCUGUGGUGCCAGUGACACAGUGCUGUGUUUUCCUGGCAGCAGAUAUGUCCUGUACAAAGAUGUAGAACUGUGA